rnacentral:rRNA from 1 species
UACGUAGGGCGCAAGCGUUGUCCGGAAUUAUUGGGCGUAAAGAGCUCGUAGGCGGCCAGUUGCGUCCGCUGUGAAAUCCCGGGGCUUAACCCCGGGCGUGCAGUGGAUACGGGCUGGCUGGAGGCAGGCAGGGGAGAACGGAAUUCCUGGUGUAGCGGUGAAAUGCGCAGAUAUCAGGAGGAACACCGAUGGCGAAGGCAGGUCUCUGGGCAUUAACUGACGCUGAGGAGCGAAAGCAUGGGGAGCGAACAGG